UACGAAGGGGACUAGCGUUGCUCGGAAUCACUGGGCGUAAAGCGCACGUAGGCGGAUUGUUAAGUCAGGGGUGAAAUCCUGGAGCUCAACUCCAGAACUGCCUUUGAUACUGGCGAUCUCGAGUCCGGGAGAGGUGAGUGGAACUGCGAGUGUAGAGGUGAAAUUCGUAGAUAUUCGCAAGAACACCAGUGGCGAAGGCGGCUCACUGGCCCGGUACUGACGCUGAGGUGCGAAGGCGUGGGGAGCGAACGGG
rnacentral:rRNA from 1 species